UGAGGGCGGAGAAUUAAAGAUUGUAGCUCCACACCUCUGCUUAUUUCCUUUCACUUCAUUUUUCUUGCACUUGCUCCACACAUUUGUUCUUGUCAGUCACAGGCAAGAUGGAAAACGCUCUGCUGAUGACUCUUACGGUGCUCCUGCUCCUUGGAGUUCAAGGAAUCUCAGCUCAGUCCUCGAACAACAUCUCAACCCCCUCAACCCCACGACCCACUAGUGCUACAACCUCCACUACCCUAUGGGCCACAUGUCCGAAAAUCAUAGAAUAUAUUACUAAAUCUGAUCUGUUCCGGCUGAAGGUUAUAUGGAAGGUCAGUCCAUGUGAAGGUCAGCUGUAUGUGUAUUCUCGUGAGCGUCAAGGGCCUUUGUGCUCUAGCAGCGACAUCUCAGCCAGCUGGUGGACUGAAGUGUGUAAGGACAGAAGAUGUGGAGACUUCAAGGGCUUUAUGCACACUUCAAGCCACGCUAAAGGUUUCAAGCUCACAACAAAUAUGACAUUCAUCGAUACUACUAAGUGCAACGGCCUGCGCAUCAUGUGCCAAGAUCCUCUAGGAACAGAGUUGGCUGCUUAUAAAGCAGUAACUGGCAUAUUAAUUUUCUUGAUCUUGGGUGUCAUUCUGGUUCAGUUCAGUCGGCCCACGUACAAAGCCAUCCGCAAAAGAUUUUCACAAAAACGUCAGAAUCGCUGGGUCGGCCCGACUCAGAGCGUGUGCUAUCACAGAGGUCAAGGACCCCCAAACAAAAACACAGACAAGAGACAGUCCUUUCCUGGUUUGGAGAGGCUGACGGUAAACCAGAGCAGAGAGCCCUCAUCCAACAGAAACAGUGACUAUGACUCAUACAGCUGAAGGCCUGUGCUCACAAAAGACUUACUGACCCUAAGCACAACCCUCGUCAUCUACAAUCAGCAGAUUGUUUUACAUUACACGGCUUUGGUUGUUUGGCAAGUCAAGAAAGCUGUAAAUAUCUUUGAAAAAUAUAGCUGAGAAAUUCAUUUAGGAUAAAAUAAAAAUAAUAAUUUAGUCUCAACAUAAGCACAAACGCGCUUACUUGGUAUAGCAUAGCAGGCUUCCUUUUAUUAAUUAUUCAUUGUUUAAUGCUAUGAUUUGCUUGAUUUGAUUUGCUGUGUUUCUUUUGGUAUUGUUUUUAAAUAGUCAGAAACAAAAUGGGAUUUCGCUCAUGUUCUGAAAGAUGAUGGCUUUUUAAAACAUGUUUAUUUAUGCAAGUGAUUGAUUUUUGAGUUGGAGUGUGAAUAAUUUUAAAUAAACGAAAAAGGCAAUCAUUCAGAUCUUCCGUGACUUUUGACUUGGGUGCAGAAUCAGAAUAAAAC
rnacentral:lncRNA from 1 species